GGGGGUGUAGCUCAAUGGUACAGCCCUUGCCUAGCAUAUAUCAGAACCUGGGUUCAAUUCCCAAGCACCACCA
rfam:Ictidomys tridecemlineatus contig104975, whole genome shotgun sequence.